AAACCAACAGGGAUUGCCUCAGUAACGGCGAGUGAAGCGGCAAAAGCUCAAAUUUGAAAUCCUCAGGGAAUUGUAAUUUGAAGGUUAACAGAGUUUGAAGGAUUCUUCUUAAGUUCAUUGGAAAAUGACGCCAUAGAGGGUGAUAGCCCCGUAAAGAUCCCCAAAUCCAUCUUAUCCCUCUGUUCUCCAAAGAGUCGAGUUGUUUGGGAAUGCAGCUCUAAGUGGGUGGUAAAUUCCAUCUAAAGCUAAAUAUUGGCGAGAGACCGAUAGCGAACAAGUACAGUGAUGGAAAGAUGAAAAGCACUUUGAAAAGAGAGUGAAAAAGUACGUGAAAUUGUUGAAAGGGAAGGGCUUGCAAGCAGACACAACCUCGUGUUGGGCCAGCAUCGGGGCGAGGGGAAGUAAAAAAGUCAAGAAAUAUAACUCCCUCGGGAGCUUUACAGUCUUUGUCCUACCACUUCCAUCUCAUCCCGAGGCCUGCGAUUCUUCAAGGAUGCUGGCGUAAUGGUUGCAAGUCGCCCGUCUUGA
rnacentral:rRNA from 1 species